GCUGGUGGUUAAAGAGAAGUGGAAAUACCCAGCCCCAUUCCGAACCUGGUAGUCAAGCACUUCAUCGCCGAUAAUACUGCAGGGUCCCC
rnacentral:rRNA from 1 species